rnacentral:tRNA from 1 species
UCCUUGUGGCCCAGUGGGAGAGGUUCUACCUUCAAACACGAUGGUCGUGAGUUCGAUACCCAUUCGGGGGA